rnacentral:rRNA from 1 species
CGGUGGAGUAUGUGGUUUAAUUCGAUGCAACGCGAAGAACCUUACCUGGUCUUGACAUCCCGGAGACCCUUAGGAAACUAGGGGGUGGCUUCCAUCUGGAAGAAUCUGGAGACAGGUGCUGCAUGGCUGUCGUCAGCUCGUGUCGUGAGAUGUUGGGUUAAGUCCCGCAACGAGCGCAACCCUUGCCUUUAGUUGCCAGCAGUUCGGCUGGGCACUCUAAAGGGACUGCCGGUGUUAAACCGGAGGAAGGUGGGGAUGACGUCAAGUCCUCAUGGCCUUUAUGACCAGGGCUACACACGUACUACAAUGGCCGAUACAAAGGGCAGCGACACUGCGAGGUGAAGCCAAUCCCGUAAAAUCGGUCUCAGUCCGGAUUGGAGUCUGCAACUCGACUCCAUGAAGUUGGAAUCGCUAGUAAUCGUGGAUCAGCAUGCCACGGUGAAUACGUUCCCGGGCCUU